CAGCAGAAGGAAAAAAAAUACAAAAAAUAAAAAACACAGCACAAAACUCCACAGUGCCGGCAGAAUGCAGCAAGAAUAUGCAGAAUGCCCCUCCAAUGUUGUACAUGCCUGGGUGGAAGGCAAGUGGGGGGGAGCAUGGCAGG